CUGUUAACCUGAUUUCUUAUUGUUUAUAACGUGUAUUCUACAUGUUAUAAAUGUUCGUAACGAUAUUAAUAUGAACAUGCUUUCAGCGUUUAUAAUUCUUAAUAUAAUGGAAAUUAAAAAAUAUUAAGUGCAAAAUAGAGAAUUAGAGAUUAGUAUAUGGUAUUCAAUUUAAGGUGACUAUAUAUAGAAAAUAUAUAGAUCAAUAGAUAUUCAAGUUAAGGUGAGAGAAGUUGUUAAUAUGUUGGUGAUUAUAUAUAAUUAUAUGUUUUUUUGUAGAAAUUAAAAAACAUCAAGGGCAAAACAGGAAAGUAAAAUAACAUCAUGGUGGAAAUUACACUAUAUUUUGACUUUAUAUAUAAUAUAGAUAUAGAUAUAUAAAUAUAGUAUAUAUAUAUAUAUAUACUAUAUAUAAAGCCAAAACAUGUGUGUAAUUUCUAUUUUCCUAUUUUGCCAUUACAUUUUUUAAUUUCUACAAAAAAAUAUCAUAUAAUCCUAAGUAUCUAGCACAUUUUGUACCAUUAGCCCAUUAGAUCUGAAUGGCAGAGAAAAAGUAAAAAUGUAGAGGAAAUGACUCUUCCGCCGCUGUCGCCGCCCUCACUUUCUUCUCAGUCCCUCAAGCUUUUCAUGAGAUAAUACAUGUUCUUUGUCCCAACUAGGCCUAUAAAUAUUCAUGGUAGAAUGGUGAAUGAUUCAAAUUAUUGUAUAGUGUUAAAGAGAAAUAAUAUUUUUUCCUUUUCUCUGCAUUUCAGAUGUAUUAUACCCAAAAAACAUGUUUGACAAGGUGGUUGUGGAUUGAGAUGUUGUAACUAGAGGAUGAGGCAGUGGGUGAGUUGAUAGCGGCGACAAUGUUGAAGAGGAAGAAUCUGUUUUUUUGGAGAAUGAGAUUGUGGCGGUGGAAGUGAGAAAAGAAAACCCUAAAAAUAGAAGAUAAAUGUGUGAGAGAGA